GGUCCUUGGUCAAGGGGUUAAGACACCGCCUUUUCACGGCGGUAACACGGGUUCGAAUCCCGUACGGACUA
rnacentral:tRNA from 1 species